rnacentral:rRNA from 1 species
UGGGGAAUUUUGGACAAUGGGCGAAAGCCUGAUCCAGCAAUGCCGCGUGUGUGAAGAAGGCCUUCGGGUUGUAAAGCACUUUUGUCCGGAAAGAAAUCCUUGGCUCUAAUACAGUCGGGGGAUGACGGUACCGGAAGAAUAAGCACCGGCUAACUACGUGCCAGCAGCCGCGGUAAUACGUAGGGUGCAAGCGUUAAUCGGAAUUACUGGGCGUAAAGCGUGCGCAGGCGGUUUGCUAAGACCGAUGUGAAAUCCCCGGGCUCAACCUGGGAACUGCAUUGGUGACUGGCAGGCUAGAGUAUGGCAGAGGGGGGUAGAAUUCCACGUGUAGCAGUGAAAUGCGUAGAGAUGUGGAGGAAUACCGAUGGCGAAGGCAGCCCCCUGGGCCAAUACUGACGCUCAUGCACGAAAGCGUGGGGAGCAAACAGGGUUAGAUACCCUGGUAGUCCACGCCCUAAAACGAUGUCAACUAGUUGUUGGGGAUUCAUUUCCUUAGUAACGUAGCUAACGCGUGAAGUUGACCGCCUGGGGAGUACGGUCGCAAGAUUAAAACUCAAAGGAAUUGACGGGG